CCCUAGUACGGCGAGUGAAGCGGGAUGAGCUCAAAUUUAAAAUCUGGCUGCCUCAGGUGGUCCGAGUUGUAGUCUCGAGAAGUGUUUUCCGCGUUGGCCUGUGUACAAGUCCUUUGGAAUAAGGCGUCAUAGAGGGUGAGAAUCCCGUCCUUGACACAGAUCCCCAAUGCUUUGUGAUGCGCUCUCAAAGAGUCGAGUUGUUUGGGAAUGCAGCUCAAAAUGGGUGGUAAAUUCCAUCUAAAGCUAAAUAUUGGCGAGAGACCGAUAGCGAACAAGUACCGUGAGGGAAAGAUGAAAAGCACUUUGGAAAGAGAGUUAAACAGUACGUGAAAUUGUUGAAAGGGAAACGAUUGAAGUCAGUCAUGCUCGUAGGGAUUCAACCGGUUCUGCCGGCCUAUUUCCCUACUUGCAGGCCAGCAUCAGUUUUGACCGGUGGAAAAGGUUGGAGGGAAUGUGGCAUCCUCGGAUGUGUUAUAGCCCUCUUUCGCAUACAUCGGUUGGGACUGAGGAACGCAGCACGCCUUUAUGGUCGGUCUUCGGACACGUACGUGCUUAGGAUGCUGGCAUAAUGGCUUUAAACGACCCGUCUUGAACACCG
rnacentral:rRNA from 1 species